rnacentral:tRNA from 1 species
AGGGCAGUAGCUCUAAUGGUAGAGCGGCUGAUUCCAAAUCAGUAGGCUGGGGGUUCGAAUCCCUCCUGCCCUGCCA